rnacentral:lncRNA from 1 species
UUUUCGAUACCAGCUAUCGAAAUUAGGUCCCAUGAGCUUGUCAUUAUCUAAUAAUGAUCGGAGCGACAGGGUAGUGGCCAUAGCUGCAUAAAGAAAAACCAGACCUCUAUUAGUAUAUUAAAUUAUUAAUACUAAAGACUUGGACUUUAGUCUAAAGUUUCUCUCAAUAUUUUUACGAACUGAUAGCCUCAACCUCCAAUUUGAGGAAUUACUUUAAUUCCUUAGUGGGUACUAGAAUCCACACAGACU